UACGUAGGGUGCGAGCGUUAAUCGGAAUUACUGGGCGUAAAGCGUGCGCAGGCGGUUUUGCAAGCCGGAUGUGAAAUCCCCCGGGCUCAACCUGGGAAUGGCAUUUGGGACUGCAAGGCUCGAGUGCGGCAGAGGAGACUGGAAUUCCUGGUGUAGCAGUGAAAUGCGUAGAUAUCAGGAGGAAUACCGAUGGCGAAGGCAGGUCUCUGGGCUGACACUGACGCUCAUGCACGAAAGCGUGG
rnacentral:rRNA from 1 species